GAUGAACGCUGGCGGCGUGCCUAAUACAUGCAAGUCGAGCGAACAGAUGAGGAGCUUGCUCCUCUGACGUUAGCGGCGGACGGGUGAGUAACACGUGGAUAACCUACCUAUAAGACUGGGAUAACUUCGGGAAACCGGAGCUAAUACCGGAUAAUAUAUUGAACCGCAUGGUUCAAUAGUGAAAGACGGUUUUGCUGUCACUUAUAGAUGGAUCCGCGCCGCAUUAGCUAGUUGGUAAGGUAACGGCUUACCAAGGCAACGAUGCGUAGCCGACCUGAGAGGGUGAUCGGCCACACUGGAACUGAGACACGGUCCAGACUCCUACGGGAGGCAGCAGUAGGGAAUCUUCCGCAAUGGGCGAAAGCCUGACGGAGCAACGCCGCGUGAGUGAUGAAGGUCUUCGGAUCGUAAAACUCUGUUAUUGGGGAAGAACAAAUGUGUAAGUAACGAUGCACGUCUUGACGGUACCUAAUCAGAAAGCCACGGCUAACUACGU
rnacentral:rRNA from 1 species